CGCAUCACAUCACAGAAGGAAGUGAGGAAAAUGGUUAGUUCAUUAGCAAACCCCGCUUUGGGUAUAUAAACCCUUCAUCGUUGCAGCAGAUCACAGACAUUCGCCAAGCUUCAAGCCAAGUACAGCAGACUCAUCCCAAGUCCUAAUACACCACUUUAAAAACCAUCAUGAACUCCAAGGUCGUAAUUCUACUCAUUGUUGUACUGGCUGCCACUUUUAUGCCACAGAGCGAAGGUUUCACCGCAGGUGCCGGGAAUAUUGGCCGACGAACCGUUAGCAGGAUCUCAAGACAACUAGAGGGACUAUGUAACGCAGCUGCUGUAUACUGUUCCCAGCCUGACGAGAAACGAUUUGCAGCCGAGUCAAAAGCCAGUGAAUAAGCACUCAACCAACAACCAAUAAAUAUCGAUUAGAAUCACUAGAAUACCGGACUUUGACAUAUUGUAAAAAAGUCGUAAGAGUGCCACUAUUCGUGCUCCGAAAAUCUUGCUCCAUCAAACAGCUUUAAUGUUUCAAUAAAAUGUAGUAUGUUCAAUUGAA